AUAUUACUAAGCGGAGGAAAAGAAACUAACCAGGAUUCCCCUAGUAACGGCGAGUGAAGAGGGAAGAGCUCAAGUUUGAAAUCGGUGUUCUUCGAGCAUCGAAUUGUAGUCUAGAGAAGCGUUCAUACGACGGACGUCUGGAGUGUGCUGAAAUCCUUUGGAACAAGGUGUCAGAGAGGGUGAGAACCCCGUACCGGUGCGCUCCUGCGGACGCGAACGUCUUCAAUGAGUCGGGUUGUUUGGGAUUGCAGCCUUAAAUGGGUGGUAAAUUUCAUCUAAAGCUAAAUACUGGCGAGAGACCGAUAGCGCACAAGUA
rnacentral:rRNA from 1 species